rnacentral:tRNA from 1 species
GUCUGGCUGGCUCAGUGGUAGAGUAUGCGACUCUUGGCCUCAGGGUUGUGAGUUCAAGCCCCACGUUGGGCG